GUACUCACUUUGGCAGCACAUAUACCAAACUGGAACUAUUCAGGAGGUUAGCAUGGCCCUGGUAAAAGGAUGACAUGCAUAUUUGUGAAAGCAUUUUAUAUUUUU
rnacentral:snRNA from 1 species